ACCUAUUCGGAUAUCCCUUCUUUCUGAACUGGGCCUUCAGCGUCAUUGCUUUCUGCUUGAAUUCAUCCAAAGUAGAACAAUUGCGUCAAAGGCGCAAAUAUUGUCCCACUGGGAUACCUUUUUGAGGGCGGGGGGAUGAUAACUAUCCCAAUUCAGAAGACUGUUGGUAGAAGUGGAUUUCCAAAAUAGUGUGGUUAAUAGGUGUCCUCCAGUGUCAAUUGUAAUUGUGAUGUCAAGGAAAUUGAUCUUUUUUCCACCUAUUUCAGAGGUGAAUCUUAGAUUGAAGUUGUUAUGGUUAAGUGUGUCCACAAAUUUAUUAAAUAUAGCCACGGUUCCGUCCAGACUAUCAGGAUAUCAUCAAUAUAUUUUUUCCAAAGCAUGACAUGUUGAGUAUAUUCUUCAAGUCUGGUAUCGAACACCAUGGUCUGUUCUGUCAGGAUUACAAAUUAAUCCAGCACGCAGUACUGUGUCACACCUAGGACUAAGGGUAACAUAUAACCGGACCUUAGAAUGGCCGGACUUAACAUCUCCAAGGAUAGUCAAAAUACUAGCCAAGGUCAGGGACACAGACUCAGACACAAAGAUGAGGGAAAGCUAAAAGUCAAGGAUACCAGAUAUCAGGGAAGUCAAAACAAAGUCAUAUACCAGAAAAUCAAGAUCAGGAACGCACUCUCGGAUAACCAUAUACAUGAAACCACGACAGG